AUGUUAUGUACACUGUUUUCUCUACAUUUCAAUUU
rnacentral:sRNA from 1 species